GAAGAGCUCCUUAAAGCCACAACACACUAUCUGCAUCAUGUGCGAGUGUGUCACUGAGUCACUUCAGUUGUAUCCGCUUCUUUACAACCCCAUGGACUGUAGUCCGCCAGGCUCCUCUGUCCAUGGCAUUCUCCAGGCAAGAAUAUACUGGAGUGGGUUGCCAUGGCCUCCUCCAGGGGAUCUUCCUGACCCAGGGAUCAAAUCCAUGUCUCUUACAACUCCUGCACUGGCAGGCAAGUUCUUUACCACUAGCGCCACCUGGGAAGCCCUAUCAGCAUUAUAAAUGUCAACAAUUUAAAGACAAUUUAACAAAACUCAGGAAGGAAAAAGGUGGAGUAUCUGUAAAUGUCCUAAUUUCCUCAUCUUUCAUAACUAGUUGAUGAAGACCACCUAAAAUUAAUGUCAAUAAAUACAGGUGGAUUCUUAACCACUGGACCACCAGGGAAACCCAGGACUGCUACAGACCACAAAUACAAUUAUCGACUCUUGGAAAUCUCAUCUACAGAGGAACCUGGUGGGCUGCAGUCCAUGGGUCACAAAGAGUCAGACAUGACUUAGUGACUCAGCAACAACAAAGGUGUCCAAGUAGAAUGCUAUUACAUACAAUUCAAUAAACUUGGAUCUAAAAACAUGAUAUAUUUUAAUCCGCAGAUAUAAAAGAGUACCUGCAUUUUAUAAUAUUUUAUAGAUAAUUUCUAAAUUAAAUGAUAAGUAAGAUGAUUGAGUAAAGAAGACGCACAGAAUUAUAA
ensembl:lncRNA